rnacentral:rRNA from 1 species
GACGAACGCUGGCGGCGUGCUUAACACAUGCAAGUCGAACGAUGAAGCUGGAGCUUGCUCCGGUGGAUUAGUGGCGAACGGGUGAGUAACACGUGAGCAAUCUGCCCUUGACUCUGGGAUAACUGCGGGAAACUGUAGCUAAUACCGGAUACGAGGCUCGAAGGCAUCUUCGGGUCUGGAAAGAAUUUCGGUCAAGGAUGAGCUCGCGGCCUAUCAGCUUGUUGGUGAGGUAAUGGCUCACCAAGGCGACGACGGGUAGCCGGCCUGAGAGGGUGACCGACCACACUGGGACUGAGACACGGCCCAGACCCCUACGGGAGGCAGCAGUGGGGAAUAUUGCACAAUGGGCGAAAGCCUGAUGCAGCAACGCCGCGUGAGGGAUGAAGGCCUUCGGGUUGUAAACCUCUUUUAGCAGGGAAGAAGCGAAAGUGACGGUACCUGCAGAAAAAGCACCGGCUAACUACGUGCCAGCAGCCGCCGUAA